UUCUCUUUUUGGGGGGGGUCCCGGACCCCAGAGUUCCUUUGCAGGGGUUUAGGGGGGAAUUUGGGCUGUCUCGGCCCCCAAGUUUGGGGGGUCAGGAUUUUGGGGGUCUGACGCUGCCCCCCAGCCCCCCCCCGUGCCCCCCGAGACCGUGGCCGCCGUUUCCUUCGGUGCCUUCGUGGUGGGGGCGGCGCUGGCGGGGGGGCUCUGGCUCGUGCACGACCGGACAGCCCCCCGGCCCCCCCACCGGCCCCAGCGCUGCCCCCCAGCCCGGGGGGGGCCAGGUGACAGGCGAUGAUUGACAGCUCUGAGUACUGAGAAAUUCCUGAGGGAAAAGGAAAUUCCGGCAGUGGGAGAUGGCGGCCAGAGCUGAUCCAGCCCCGGGUCCUCGCUCAGCUGCUCGGGACACAUCCCCGCAGCGGUUUCCAGGGAGGGAAAUCUCCUGGGAUAAUUCACAUGGGAGGGGGCAGACAGAACCAGCAAACUGGGAUAUUAAUAAUCAAAAGUUCUGCCGUCUGUAACCAAUGAGCGCUGACGCUUUCGUUCGUUAAAAUGUCCCAAUCGUGCAAAGCUUUGUUGAUGGGGGAGCGGGGAGCGAUCUUUGGGGACCCCCCGGCCUUUGGGGAAACCCUGGCUCCUGCUGUGUGCUAAGAACAAAACCUGAACCGCC